CACUUGGAAACAGGUGCUAAUACCGCAUAACCAUAGUUACCGCAUGGUAACUAUGUAAAAGGUGGCUAUGCUACCGCUUUUGGAUGGGCCCGCGACGCAUUAGCUAGUUGGUGGGGUAAAGGCUUACCAAGGCAAUGAUGCGUAGCCGAACUGAGAGGUUGAUCGGCCACAUUGGGACUGAGACACGGCCCAAACUCCUACGGGAGGCAGCAGUAGGGAAUCUUCCACAAUGGGCGAAAGCCUGAUGGAGCAACGCCGCGUGGGUGAAGAAGGUCUUCGGAUCGUAAAACCCUGUUGUUAGAGAAGAAAGUGCGUGAGAGUAACUGUUCACGUUUCGACGGUAUCUAACCAGAAAGCCACGGCUAACUACGUGCCAGCAGCCGCGGUAAUACGUAGGUGGCAAGCGUUAUCCGGAUUUAUUGGGCGUAAAGAGAACGCAGGCGGUCUUUUAAGUCUGAUGUGAAAGCCUUCGGCUUAACCGGAGUAGUGCAUUGGAAACUGGGAGACUUGAGUGCAGAAGAGGAGAGUGGAACUCCAUGUGUAGCGGUGAAAUGCGUAGAUAUAUGGAAGAACACCAGUGGCGAAAGCGGCUCUCUGGUCUGUAACUGACGCUGAGGUUCGAAAGCGUGGGUAGCAAACAGGAUUAGAUACCCUGGUAG
rnacentral:rRNA from 1 species